rnacentral:lncRNA from 1 species
CGGUUCAGAGGUCUGGGGGUCUACACGGGCCGGCAUCUGGUGGGGAUGCACGGGAUGGACGGGCUCGAAGGUCGGCACAUCAAAAUGUGGGACUGGAAUGCCGGACUGUGCGAGGGAUUGCAGAAUGACCGACAUCUGGCUCUGAAGAGUGGCCACCUGUGCUGUCAAAGCAGUGACCUGACUGUUCGACUGCGCUGAUGAACGGGGUCUGGGUUCCCUCCGCCUGGCAUUCCCCAUCCCUCGACAAUAUGUCCCCGGUCUCCUCCCUAGAGUCUGAUCCAAUGUCUCCGUCAAGAUCUGAAACCCAGCAUCCUGUGGAGGAUCCACAGACUCGAUCGGAGUAUCGGGAGGAAGUUGGGAGGCAGACUCCUGAAGAACCAACUGGCUCCUCUCCACCAUCGUCGUCUGUUUAGCAUAACAUAAAAUAUAAAUUCAAACAUUCAUAUAAUAACCUUUAAAGUUGAAUGCGUAACAUAAGAAUUAAAAUUAAAUAAUACUUACAUGAAGGGACUCGGCCAAUUCAUUCCCAGGUCGAACAUAGACGUCACCAAAUACGUCAAUCUCUGGGAAUUUGGACCCCCCCUAAAUUGAACAAAAGAAGAAAAAUAUUAGAACGAAAAAAUAAAUUAAGAAUAAUGAAAAAGUAAAAAUUAAAUAAAAAUUAUUUUAUUAUUACCUGACACCGGGCAUCCAUCCUAUAGGAGAAGGGCCUGGAACCCGAAUGAUGGAGAAGAGUCUUCUUCUUCCUAUUGCCCUUAUUGACUUUGGCUUUAUUCUGUUAUACAAAAAAUAAAAUGUAUUAGUUGAAAUUGAAAUUAAAUAUAAAAAAGUAAAUAAACAUUAGUAAGAAAAUAAAAAUAAAUAUAAAAAAUUACCACAAAAGCGGGCGCCUGAAAAUGAGCGUAGAGCCACGCCAAACUAUCCUCCCGCCCCUCAAGCUCUUUCAGGCAACCCUCUUGAAGAGCGACUUGCGGAUCAUCGAACGCCUCAAAAUGGUGGUGCAAGUCGCUCUUCCACUGCUUGUACCUCUCAGAGAAGAGUCUGUUGACGUACGCCAACGACUCUUCAUCAAGGUCCUCCAAGUUGUAGUUCGUCUGCGAUAAAUUAAUUACAUACAUUUAAAUAAUAUAAAUAUAACGUUUGAAAGAAAAAGAAUGAAAAGGCCUACAUACCGACAACUGGCCGCGAACCUCAGUCUUGGUCUCGUUAGGCAUCACCUUCCAAGACUUCCAUUGCAUCGGGCAAUAGCUCCGAAUGACAUGACCAAUGUCGUGGGCCAAGGAGCUAUGCAACUCCGCUGUCGGUGCAGCCCGAUGUCGCUCGUCUUAUCCGAUGUUGAUACGACUGUUGGUCACCCGGGUGACCUUCGCCGUCUUCAACUGCCGACACGGCCCUCGGGUGUUCCUCUUGGCUGCAAAGAAAGAUGACAUGAAUGUUAAAUAAAUAACAAAUUUAACAAUCAAAUACACACACACAAAAAAAAACAAGAAAUAAAAAAUAAAAUUAACUGGAGAAAAAGGAAAGCUAUACCUGGCUGUGACCCCGACGCAUCAGUGGAUGUGGUGUCGGUGGUGCUGGCGGGCCGAUGACGCCGCCUGGCGCAAACAGGCUGCGCCACUGAUGACGCUGAUGAGGCAGGCGCCUGGGACCCCGCAGGUCCAACUGCCAAGUGGUCCAUCAGUGCUGGCGCAGUGGUCCAUCGGUGGUGUUGGCGGGCCGAUGACGUCGCCUGGCGCAAACAGGCUGCGCCACUGAUGACGCUGAUGAGGCAGGCGCCUGGGACCCCGCAGGUCCAACUGCCAAAUGGUCCAUCAGUGCUGGCGCAGUGGCAGGAGAUGCUGGAGCAAUGGCAGCAGAUGUCGGCUGAGUCGGGGGCUCCGAACUCUGCGUGGUCGUCACCGCCCUACGACGUGUAAUCAGGUCUGACAUCUGCACAAUUUCAUUAAUACACAUACCAAUUAAUAAAAUAUACGAAUAUUUGAAAACACAUACAAUUUUAUUCACAUUAUUGACCUAGGGUUUGCGAGUUCGGAGUAUCCGGGACUCCGAUCCACGAUCCGUCGAAUCGUAGACGAUCCAAGAAAUACAAGGUACACCAUACGUGAGUUUGAGUUCGAUCCAACGGUCCGAACAUAACAACCCUGAAAAUCGCACAAUAGGCAAAAUCCAUUCGAGACGCAAACGGUAACCAAAUUCCAAUCCGAAAACACCUAUGCGCUCGUGACAACUACAGGAUUGCACUAGGACCUAAUUCAGGUGGCUACAGUCACCCACGCGCCGGCAGCGCCGGGUGUCCAAAGCGAUACCAAUCGCCUGAAAAUUCUUAAAACUAAGGGCCAAGGUUCCUAUCCUAGGUUCAAAACAUCAAUUGGAGCCACUUUUGUUCUCGG